rnacentral:rRNA from 1 species
AUUAGCGGUCAUAUCGCAAGGGCAAUACCUGGACCCAUUCCGAACCCAGAAGUUAAACCUUGCAGAGUAUGAUAAAAACUGCGUUAACGCGUGGAGUUUAUCGAAAGCUGCUAAUC